GUCCCAGUUGGACUUAGACGGUUUCUUGCCUUGAUUCGCGUCCCCCUCUGGAUCGACUCCUAAGCCGUAGGCCCCAGGUUCGAGUCCUGGCGGGGACG
rnacentral:tRNA from 1 species